rnacentral:rRNA from 1 species
UACGUAGGGUGCAAGCGUUGUCCGGAAUUACUGGGCGUAAAGCGCGUGUAGGCGGCAGCGCAAGUCGGGCGUGAAAUCCCACGGCUCAACCGUGGAAGUGCACUCGAAACUGCGCAGCUAGAGUCCUGGAGAGGAAGGUGGAAUGCUUGGUGUAGAGGUGAAAUUCGUAGAUAUCGGGAGGAACACCGGUGGCGAAGGCGGCGACCUGGGUAGAUACGUGACGGCUGAGGUGCGAAAGCGUGGGGAGCAAACAGG